rnacentral:rRNA from 1 species
UGGCGGCGUGCUUAACACAUGCAAGUCGAACGAUGAACCACUUCGGUGGGGAUUAGUGGCGAACGGGUGAGUAACACGUGGGCAAUCUGCCCUGCACUCUGGGACAAGCCCUGGAAACGGGGUCUAAUACCGGAUACUGAUCCUCGCAGGCAUCUGCGAGGUUCGAAAGCUCCGGCGGUGCAGGAUGAGCCCGCGGCCUAUCAGCUAGUUGGUGAGGUAACGGCUCACCAAGGCGACGACGGGUAGCCGGCCUGAGAGGGCGACCGGCCACACUGGGACUGAGACACGGCCCAGACUCCUACGGGAGGCAGCAGUGGGGAAUAUUGCACAAUGGGCGAAAGCCUGAUGCAGCGACGCCGCGUGAGGGAUGACGGCCUUCGGGUUGUAAACCUCCUUCAGCAGGGAAGAAGCGAAAGUGACGGUACCUGCAGAAGAAGCGCCGGCUAACUACGUGCCAGCAGCCGCGGUAAUACGUAGGGCGCAAGCGUUGUCCGGAAUUAUUGGGCGUAAAGAGCUCGUAGGCGGCUUGUCACGUCGGUUGUGAAAGCCCCGGGCUUAACCCCGGGUCUGCAGUCGAUACGGGCAGGCUAGAGUUCGGUAGGGGAGAUCGGAAUUCCUGGUGUAGCGGUGAAAUGCGCAGAUAUCAGGAGGAACACCGGUGGCGAAGGCGGAUCUCUGGGCCGAUACUGACGCUGAGGAGCGAAAGCGUGGGGAGCGAACAGGAUUAGAUACCCUGGUAGUCCACGCCGUAAACGGUGGGCACUAGGUGUGGGCAACAUUCCACGUUGUCCGUGCCGCAGCUAACGCAUUAAGUGCCCCGCCUGGGGAGUACGGCCGCAAGGCUAAAACUCAAGGGAAUUGACGGGGGCCCGCACAAGCGGCGGAGCAUGUGGCUUAAUUCGACGCAACGCGAAGAACCUUACCAAGGCUUGACAUACACCGGAAAACCCUGGAGACAGGGUCCCCCUUGUGGUCGGUGUACAGGUGGUGCAUGGCUGUCGUCAGCUCGUGUCGUGAGAUGUUGGGUUAAGUCCCGCAACGAGCGCAACCCUUGUCCCGUGUUGCCAGCAGGCCCUUGUGGUGCUGGGGACUCACGGGAGACCGCCGGGGUCAACUCGGAGGAAGGUGGGGACGACGUCAAGUCAUCAUGCCCCUUAUGUCUUGGGCUGCACACGUGCUACAAUGGCCGGUACAAUGAGCUGCGAUACCGCGAGGUGGAGCGAAUCUCAAAAAGCCGGUCUCAGUUCGGAUUGGGGUCUGCAACUCGACCCCAUGAAGUCGGAGUCGCUAGUAAUCGCAGAUCAGCAUUGCUGCGGUGAAUACGUUCCCGGGCCUUGUACACACCGCCCGUCACGUCACGAAAGUCGGUAACACCCGAAGCCGGUGGCCCAACCCCUUGUGGGAGGGAGCUGUCG